CAGUGUGCUGAUGUAGUUUAUUGGUUCAGGUAAUUCUUUAUGACGCAUAAAGUGGUUCAAGCGAUCAUUCAAGGAAGCAACAUCAGUUCUCCACGACUGGGAGCAAAACAAUGAACACAAACAAUACAAAAUAAUUAUGAAAGUAUUCUCCUAGACCAGAACCAACCCUGACUGACGUUUGACCCUCAUCGUCGUCAUGACAACCGGUCACAUCUGUCUGCACGAGAGAAAAGAGAACAUCACAGAGGGAAGGGAUGAACAGUGAUAAAUAACACAGCAGACCGCUGAGUGGGUCUGGAGGGAGAUUGGGAGGGUGGAGGUGGUGGAGGAGGAGGUGGAGGUUUACCACGGGGCGAGAUAGGUGGAGGAGGAGGUGGGUCAUCACGGGGAGAGAGAAGUGGAGGAGGAGGUGGUGGAGGAGGAGGUGUGUCAUCUCGGGGAGAGAGAGGUGUAGGAGGAGGGUGGAGGAGGUGGAGCAGGAGGUGGGUCAUCACGAGGAGAGAGGUGCCUUCCUCCUCUACAUUCACCAUCUCACAAGUUAGGGAUGGGUUAGAAUCCACGUUAACCUUUAGGGUAACAGGUGGGGAAGGGUUGAGGUGGUGUUAUUAGGGUUUAGGGUGGGUAAGGG
ensembl:lncRNA